rnacentral:misc_RNA from 1 species
GAUGAAGAACGUAGCGAAAUGCGAUAAGUAAUGUGAAUUGCAGAAUUCAGUGAAUCAUCGAAUCUUUGAACGCACAUUGCGCCCGCCAGUACUCUGGCGGGCAUGCCUGUUCGAGCGUCAUUUCAACCCUCGGGCCCCGCAUUCGUGCGGGCCCCGGCGUUGGGGACCGGCCUCCGCAUCGGACGGCCGCCCCCGAAACCCAGUGGCGGUCCCGCCGCGGCCUUCUCUGCGUAGUAUCAUACACCUCGCACUGGAGAGCGGCGCGGCCACGCCGUAAAAGAAACGAACUUUCUGAAGGUUGACCUCGGAUCAGGUAGGAAUACCCGCUGAACUUAAGCAUAUCAAUAAGCGGAGGA